UUCCCAGCUCAGGGCUCCUUUCAUCUCCCAGGUGCCCUCAAAGGGCCAGACGCAAAUUUCCUCUGAGGAAUGGAACGGGCGUGUGGGUGGAGGAACAUUAAAGGCAGAAGGACAUCUGGAGAUCCCAGAAGAAGCAGGAAGUCAAAAACAAAGGACAUAUGAAGCAUACGAUUUCAGUCUGGGAUUGACUGGCUCCAUCGCUUUGGGGUUGAGCAAGGGAGAAGAUUGGCGGAAAGGAUUCGAUAGAGCACAGCUGUUUCCUGGUGGUGGCCAAGAAGCAGAGAAAGAAAGACCACCAGAGAGAAGGCCUUGCCCUAGUCACCUACUUCUUCUAACUUGGCCCCACCUCCAAACGUUUCUAUCACCUCUCACCAAAGUCAU